AUAGCCAAUGUACUUGGAUAUCAUUAAUUCGAUUUUUUAAAAGAAAUUGUGCGAAAUAUUUAACCUCUUAUCACCGACCGCAAGUCCCUUCCUCUGGUUUCCAACUUUCUUCAAGAACGAACCAGCCGUAUCGCCCUGAAUCUUUUUUCCCGGAAUGUAAUUUUUAAAAAAAUCAAUUCCCUUCGUGUUUAUCACUCUCAAAUUCUCUUCUUCCGUUUCCACCGGGAGGAGUAUGCGCUACUCUUAUAACACGAAAGUUUCCUCCAAGUUGGUAUAAAAGGGAGUCUUCCUAGAAGCAGAGCAUCAGACCCUCCACCAAGUUCAACUGCAUAAGUGAACGCUUCAAUUCGAAAAUGAAACUUCUCGUUUUGACUCUCGCGAUUCUCUCCAUCGCUGUGCUCGUCGCGUCAGUUCCAGUACCAGAUGGGCCUGAUGACAUGAAUCUAGUCAUUGCGGAUCCUAGCCUGGUGAAUGAUAAUUUGGCGCGAGGAAAACGUGCGCCGUGGGUUGGACUGCUCGUCCGAGGACUUGCUUCCGGUAUCGGUAGUUUCUUCGGCUCUCGAAGUCGACAAUGAAGACCUGAAAGCCUAAUUCCAACUUUACUCCUCUUUCAAAUAUUGGAACAACAACAAUAACAAUGUCUCCGAUUUUUGUAAUUUUGAUAAUGUACUCUACUGAUAAUUUUGAAUAAAUUUUGAAAUAUCAUCGACAGAAAAUGUCUACGAUGUUCAAA